rnacentral:piRNA from 1 species
UGGAAAUAGUCCUUUUCAUGUGUUCUACCA